UGGUCUCGAUCUCCUGACCUCGUGAUCCGCCCGUCUCGGCCUCCCAAAGUGCUGGGAUUACAGGCUUGAGCCACCGCGCCCGGCCACUUUAGCUAUGGUUUAAUGUUGUCAGCAUCAGUCACUAAUAACAAAACUGAAAUUGUUCUACUUGGUGUUUUGCCCUCCCUGUAAAUCCUAUCUAAAAACUUUUCCUCUUUUCAUUAUGAGAUAGACCUGUGAUGACUGGCUGUGUACUUGAAAGUCCUUUCUCUGAGUUUUCUUAGUUGGUCACAAAAACAGGCAACAUUCUACUUGGCAAACAGAGACAAAAUAUUGAUCAUUUCUAUAAUUUUUUUUUGGAGGUUAUAAAUCAUUGCAGCUUCUCAUUGACAUGGCUUAUUUCGGGUUAGGAACCAGAACUUAGGGCUCUGCUCCCAGGAAAUUCUACAUAAAGGGCACAUUGUUAGCAGCCUACCAAAGCCAGGGUGUAUCAGUAAAAAUGUAAUCCUACCCCAGUACACAUGUAAAGUAGAGAAUUGCAUGCCAAGUGCCAGUUUUCAUAUAUGGAAAUACACACUUUUGCAGGUGCCCCUUUGCUUCUCACAUAGGAAAUAAGCCGAAAAAUUGACAACUGAGCUUCUUUUUUGAGAAGAUCUGGAUACUUAUUUGGCAACUGGAGAACAGCGUAGUAUAAUGGUAAAAGACCAAAGCUCUUGGGUUAGAAAGACUUCGAUUCAAGUCUCAGUGAAAGGCACACUACGUAACCUCUAUAAGCCUCCAUGUUCACAUCUAUAAAGUGGAGUUAAUGCCUAUUAUACAGGAUCAUAUUGAUAGAAUUGAAUGCUCUCUAUCAAUUAGGUGCAGACCAAAACAGACUCUUUUGAUAGAUUAAAUGUUUAUCCACUUUGUCCAUUCCCUUUUCUAGACCAAUGAAAUGAAUUUGCUUUCCACUAAGGACUUGGAAACAUAUCUUGAAUAUCUUCAUCUUGCAUGACAAUUAUUUUCAGAAUCUUUCUUUAGCCUUCACUCACAGGGGAACUGGCCCCAAGUGCACGUUUUUAGUGCUUUCCCACAGUUUACCCCAGCUGUACUCUCCUACUAAUAAUGGCUUCCUGAAACUAGGCACUUAGGAUGGUCCCAGGGCACAGCCAGACAUGGCCUCCCAUGUGGCUUCAGGUCAGCCAGAGCCAGUCAAUCUCAUAUCCUACUACUCGUACCCUCUUUUUCUGUUUAUGACGUUAUGGAUCCAAAUACAGAUAGGUGUGCAGCUGCUUAAAUAAGUCUAACUCCAGUAAUACCAAAAUAACCCUAAAUCUGCAACAGAUGCAAGGAUGCCCCCUGGGGCAAUUGUUAAGUGUGAUGACAGCUGGGCAUCAAUUAAUACAUUUGUCACCUGCUCAUGAGAUAGGAUCAUGGGAGGUUUUGCAACGGGACAAUCUAUUGAACACUCUGCACAGAACUUAGUAGCAAGAAAAAUUAUUUGUGCAGGUAUUCAUUUUUAUUUUACUUUAAUGUUCUGCCUUAUCUAGUUGCCUGUUUUAGUCACAAUUUUCUCUGUGCAUUUAGAUGAAGUUAAUAAGAUGGCUGGUGAGAGCAAUGCCCCCUUCAAGCAGGAUUACCAAAAAAACCUUAUUCAAGUGCUCCUCAGAAUUUUUCCUGGGAAAUAUGGGCCUUCUCAUUAUGGGCUUAAUGUUCAUAAUUUAUUAGGUAAUAACUAUUUAAAAUAAAACUAAGUAAAGCAGAAAAUAUAUACUUUUCUAACAUUUGGAGACUUGUUUGCUAAAUUAAAAGACGAAGUGCCAAGACUAUAAAUUACUUUCGUAUGUUGAGGGAGAAUGUUUAAAUUGUACUUUUUUUUUUUUUUAACAGAAUGUUUACUCAUGAGCUUAGCAUUUAAAUGGUUAAAACAAGCCUUUGAAGUUAACACUCCAUUAAGAUGAAUGGGGGUAAUUCACACCUCUGCUGGUGCUAUAUUAUUUCAGUCUGGUUGCAGAGAAAACAAGACAGCAGUAGGUUGAUUUACUGUGUGAAGGCCCUUUAAACACCCAAGGUCUGGAAAUCUUUUGGGGUGUGUGUGUGUGUGUGUGUGUGUGUGUGCACGCGCGCUUUUCCAUCUAGAAGCAGGAUCUAAAACUCAGUACAAUCUAGGUACAGAAUUGAGGUCCUGAGAAUACUAUAGAUUCUCUAUUAUCCAGCAAUUCCAUAUUGGCAUUUGAUGGGUAGCACAUUACUAGAUCAACCCAAUCUCUCUGUGGUACUGUAGUGUUUCUUCCUACCACAGCAUUUUUCUAAACUUCAGCUUAGUACACUGAUAAAUCCAUCAGUGGAAAAGCAGAAACAAAUUAUCCAUUUUCUGGUGAACUUUAUAUAUACCUUCAAAUGGGUUAUGAGCUAAUCAUUAGUCUUCAUGUGCUCCUUUUAAAAACAUUUUCAUCUUUGUGAAAUCUCCUGUUCUAUAUUUACCUGCAUAUAAAGCAUCUACCUUUAAGACUUUACAAUUUUUUCUCAUAUGCCUGGGGUACUGAAGUAAGCAGAGAUCAGUUGAAAAAGAGGCAUUUCUUUCUCAAUGUGUGCUUCAUACCAGUUCUAUAUUGUAUUUGAAAUGUGUAUUCCACCCAUUGGUGGAAGUACUACAGGCAUUUGACCCUGAAAAAAUUCAUUUUAGGGCCUGGGAAUAAGGUUAUCUUAACACACGUGAAAUGGCAAACGCUGUACAAGAUGUUAAUGAGUUUGGAAGAUCUCUGUUUAAGGAAUCUGUUUUCCUGCUUUGCCAAGCUGUCAGUCAGGACAAGCAAUUAUAAGGAACAGGAAGACUCAUCUUGGCGGAUGGUCAGGUGGGCAGGUGGGAAUAAGAGGUUUAUUCACCUAUGGUACAAAGUAAAUGGGUCGAAAGGAAAAUUGAGGUGCCAGGGAGAAAAAAAAAAUCCAAAAACAGAUGGAUGAAAAGACAUUGUAAUAUGGGAUGCUAUAAAGAAAACGACUUGCAGAGAAAUGUUUCUCACUUGUUUGAAUGUACAGUCAUCCCUUGGCGAUUGGUUCCAGGAUCUCCCUCAUAUACCAAAGUCCAUGCACAUUCAAGUCCUACUGCAGAACCACAUAUACAAAAUAUCAACCUUGUGUAGACAUGUGCAGAUUUUGCAUCCUGAAAUUACUAUAUUUUUAAUCCAUAUUUGAUUGGAAAAAAAUCAACCAUUAGGGAACCCAUGCAGUUGAAACCCAUGUUGUUCAAGAGUCAGCUGUGUAUAUAUUUUAUCUAGUGUUCAUCACUGGACAGAUACACAACACAAGAAAAAGGGCUGGCUAAUUCAUUCAGCAAAUUCUUAGCACAUAUUAUGUUCUUGAAGUUGAGCUAGCCCCAAGGUCAUGAAGCUCUGUAAGACAUACAUACAUACGUCUUGCUUGAAAAAAGUUCAGAUACAACUCAUUUUUCUGACUGAACAUUUUCAGAUCAACUUGAUAAGUAGAAUUGCUUAAACAAAAAACUAUACAUGUAUUUUUAAUAUAUACAUAUAUUUUUUUUAAAAGAAGAUUUUGGAGUCAAAAUUACCUGUGUUCAAAUCCCAGCUUCUGUCUCUUUCUAAUUUUGGACAAGUUACCGUUCUCUGAACUUGCUGAAGACUCAAUGUUUGACUGGGUUUUCUCUCAACCAGAGGAAACUCUCCUUCACGUGAGAUUACAUAUUUGGGAAAAACUCGAGUAAGCUGUUAAGCAUUGAAUAUACGUACACUUUUAUUACUUUGUUGUCCCUCAAAUCACAUAGCUUCCAACCAUAUUGUAUCUUCUUCCAUCUCUGCUUCAGACAUUUAGUCAGCAGCCUGACUAGAAAACGGUAUUCUAGAAAUAGAAAAUAAAUGCAUUUAUUUUCACUACUGAUGUAUUUUUCCCCAGAAAAGUAAUUAUUUUAGUUUUGUAGUAAAUAUUAUCCACAUAUUUUGACUUUACAUCAGAAUUUUUAGCAAUGACAUUACACUUUUGGCUUAUAAAGUAUGUGGUCAGAAAAGCUGCAGGCCUUUUUUAGGUAAAUUACCCAGGUUCCUAGAACCCGGUACUUGUGCUGUUGAUUUA